rnacentral:lncRNA from 1 species
AUGGUGCUGAAGGCAAAGAAGAAAGCUCCUGCCCCUCCUAAAGCCAAAACCAAAGCGAAGGUUUUGAAGGCCAAGAAGGCAGUGUUGAAAGCUGUCCAUAGCCACAAAAAAAGAAGAUCUGCACGUCACCCAUCUUCUGGUGGCCCAAGACCCUGAGACUCCGGAGGCAGCCCAAAUAUCCUUGGAGGAGUGGCCCCAGAAGAAACAAGCCUGACCACUGUGCUGUCAUCACGUUUUCGCUGACUACUGGGUCUGCCACGAAGAAGACAGAAGACAACAACACAUUUGUGUUCAAUGUGGAUGUUAAAGCCAACUAGCACCAGAUCACACGGGCUGUGAAGAAGCUCUGUGACAUUGAUGUGCCCGAGGUCAACACCCUGAUUAGGUUUGAUGGAGAGAAGAAGACAUAUGUUCGACUGGCUCCUGAUUACAAUGCUUUGGAUAUUCCCAACAAAAUUGUGAUCAUCUAA